CUAAAUUUAAAAGGUGGGACAAAGUGAAAGACAUCCAUGUUUUCCAAGGAACAUGUUUGAAAUCCAAAGAAGCAUCACUGCCUUUGCCUAAGCUCUCAGCGUUUUCUUCUCUGACCACUGAGAGCAUGCAGACCCUCAUGCGUCUGCCGGGCAAGGUCACUGUUACCCCAGGACCCAGGCAGAAACUUCCAGCCAGUCCAAGCCACCAGGUAGAGAAGUCCGUCUGCACACGUCAAGUUUCGGCUGAUGUAACCGAGGAACUGUCCAUUUUCUGAUGCUUAAGUGGAAAGGUUUCAUUCCUAUUGCAAGCUAAAUUUUUAAAGUGUGUGAUCUCGUACCCUAGCCCACCUGAAAAUGUCAACCUCUCUCGGGCAUUGCAGCUUUUGUUUUCUCGUUAGCGCCCAGUCCUGUGUCGUGUCUCAAACAUCCUAGGCAAAUGACGUACGGGAAUGUUCUCUUCCAUAUGAUCCGUUGUAUGGUCUAUAUUCUAUAUAUCCACUUAGCGUGAACAUCGAACAUAGACUUCAUCACAGUAGUUUCCACACAAUGCCCCCACAUUUUACCAUGCCCUCCCCAGUGACCCACUGGAAACAAUAAGCGCGCCCAAAGCACUGUGAAACAGUUACCAAAAUUUAUAGAAAUGCAGUGUCCUGACUCUUUCUGAAAAGGUGGCUUUUUAACAAGUCCUUAUGAACAAAAGAUCCUCUAUCCCUACUUAGCCAAGGCAUCUGUAAUCUCCUUGCUGACAGGAAGCUGCUGGAGUGACAUAUGGGUCACAUGCUAUCAAAAAUACAGUGAAUGCUCAUAAUAAUGCUGAUUUUUAGACUCAAUGGCUCUGUAUCCACAGUUUUAGUGGGCCCUCUUGGAAGGAGAAAGAAAUUUGAGUUAAUAUCCAAUUUCAUUAUAGUUAAUGAGUUAUAAAUUUACAAAUAUUUUAUACAUCUGACAUAUAAAAACUUUGUAAAAUGCACAAGUGCAAUAACUUAAAGAG
rnacentral:lncRNA from 1 species